rnacentral:misc_RNA from 1 species
GAACUCUUAUGAGUAAAGAGGUGCAUAGUCUCAUUCAUGUUUCUCCUUAUUUGUAGGCAGUACUGGGCAGUUAUAAAAUAGUUUUAAGGAGAUUGUUUUUUUGUUGGGUUCUUGCUAAAUAACACAGUUACAUUUUAUAAUUCGUUAUUUCUAAAGAUUGUAAUGUGCAUAAUGUGGAGACCCAGAUCACUGGAGAAACGGUUGGAG